rnacentral:rRNA from 1 species
AGUGAACGCUGGCGGUAUGCCUAACACAUGCAAGUCGAACGGCAGCACAGUAAGCUUGUGCCCCUACGGGUGGCGAGUGGCGGAUGGGUGAGGAAUACAUCGGAAUCUACUUUUUCGUGGGUGACAACGUAGGGAAACUUACGCUAAUACCGCAUAUGAUCUACCGGUGAAAUCAAGGGAUCUUCGCACCUUUCGCGAUUCAUUGAGCCGAUGCCGGAUUAGCUAGUUGGCGGGGUAAAGGCCCACCAAGGCGACGAUGCGUAGCUGGUCUGAGAGGGUGAUCGGCCACACUGGAACUGAGACACGGUCCAGACUCCUACGGGAGGCAGCAGUGGGGAAUAUUCGACAAUGGGCGCAAGCCUGAUCCAGCAAUGCCGCGUGAGUGAAGAAGGCCUUCGGGUUGUAAAGCCCUUUUGUUGGGGAAGAACAGCAGCGGAUUAAUACCCCGCUGUUCUGACGGUACCCAAAGAGUAAGCACCGGCUAACUUCGUG